rnacentral:rRNA from 1 species
GACGAACGCUGGCGGCGUGCUUAACACAUGCAAGUCGAACGGAAAGGCCCCUUUGGGGGUACUCGAGUGGCGAACGGGUGAGUAACACGUGAGUAACCUGCCCUUGACUUCGGGAUAACUUCCGGAAACUGGGGCUAAUACCGGCUAGGAAUCCUUGCUGCAUGGUGGGGGUUGGAAAGCUUCGGCGGUUUUGGAUGGACUCGCGGCUUAUCAGCUUGUUGGUGGGGUAGUGGCUUACCAAGGCUUUGACGGGUAGCUGGCCUGAGAGGGCGACCGGCCACAUUGGGACUGAGAGGCGGCCCAGACUCCUACGGGAGGCAGCAGGGGGGAAUAUUGCACAAGGGGCGGAAGCCUGAUGCAGAAACGCCGCGGGCGGGAUGACGGCCUUCGGGUUGUAAACCGGUUUCAGCAGGGGCGAAGCUUGUGGUGACGGUACCUGCAGAAGAAGCACCGGCUAACUACGUG